rnacentral:lncRNA from 1 species
AUGUUUGCCCGGGAGCUGAAGUCUGCACCUACGGAACCGAAAAGAUCCUUUAGUAGAGCCCAUGCGCGACGCAGGUUAAUGGGGAGGAGAGGAAUUCCCGGGCUGGAGGAGAUUCGAGGUGCUCAGGGCAGCCGGGUCCCCGGGCGGCCCCCUCCCCAUCCCAAACUCACAGCUCCCCUAGCCUGUCCCAUCUCAGGCAACCCCAUCCUUCUGGGCGCCCAGGCCCAAACCCCGAGUGCCACCUCGCUUCGUGCCCUCCCGGCCUCAGCCAACCUGGUGGCAGAGCCCCGAGGGCGCCGCCUUCAGAGGCACCGACAGUCUGCUUCCCGCACCGUCUCGGGGUCCCCCUGUGGCCCCCACAACUCCUCUCCAGCACCAGGCCCUGAGGGAUCAGUUGAUCUAAGUCAGAUCACGCCCCUGCCCCGCUUCAAACCCUCUGGUCGCUCACGUCGCUCAGGCUCACAUUGCUCAGCCGGCGCCAGAGUCCUGGGGUCCCCGAGCUCCUGCGGGCUCUGGUCCCGUCACCCCUCUUGUCCGCCUGCACUCGCCCGUGCCAGCCCCCCUGCAGGCCCAUGGCCCUGGGCCCAGGCCCCUCCCACUGGGGACGCUCUCCCCCACAGGCCCACGGGGCUCAGGCCCACCCUAGCUGCAGGCCUCUCCUCACAGAGACCCUCACUGGCCACUCUUGCUUUAAACCGUGCCCCCCCCACCCGCCAACCAGCCCCACCACCUACUUUUUUUUUUUUUAAUUUUUUUAAUUUAUUUAUGAUAGUCAUACACAGAGAGAGAGAGAAAGAGGCAGAGACACAGGCAGAGGGAGAAGCAGGCUCCAUGCACCGGGAGCUUGACGUGGGACUCGAUCCCGGGUCUCCAGGAUCGUGCCCUGGGCCAAAGGCAGGCGCUAAACCGCUGCGCCACCCAGGGAUCCCCCACCGCCUACUUUCUUUGUCACCGUCUCACAAACCGUUUCCAUUUCCCAUUUCCUCGUUCAUCUUUCCUCUCUUUCCUUUUUUUUCUCUCCGCUGGGACCCAGGCUCUGCAGAGGCCGGAGGGCUGGCCUGCCGCGCCCAGUGCUCGGAACUGUGCCUGGAAUACAGCAGGUGCUCAGAGAACGUUCGCUGGGCCAGUGGGUGACCCAACAGAGCUCGGAGGGAGAGGAGCCGCGCUCGGACGGCUCCCUCCAGGCCCACGCGGGAGCUCAGCGAGGCGCACAGGGCGCGGGGCUCCCUGCCUCCGAUUUCGCGGCGGGUUAGGGGUUUCGAACAUCUCCUAGAGCCAUUCACAUCUAGGUUUCCGCAGAGCAACUGUCGCCUGUAGAGCGGGAACCGCGGUCCCCAAGCCGGGCAGCGGUCAGAGGGUCGGGGGCUGCUCUGGGCCAGCGCUGCGCGUCCGCGGCCAG